rnacentral:rRNA from 1 species
UACGUAGGGUGCGAGCGUUAAUCGGAAUUACUGGGCGUAAAGCGUGCGCAGGCGGUUUUGUAAGCCAGAUGUGAAAUCCCCGGGCUUAACCUGGGAAUGGCAUUUGGGACUGCAAGGCUUGAGUGUGGCAGAGGGGACUGGAAUUCCUGGUGUAGCAGUGAAAUGCGUAGAGAUCAGGAGGAAUACCGAUGGCGAAGGCAGGUCCCUGGCUGACACUGACGCUCAUGCACGAAAGCGUGGGGAGCAAACAGGA